CACGGGGGGCCUACGGGAGGCAGCAGUGGGGAAUAUUGCACAAUGGGGGAAACCCUGAUGCAGCCAUGCCGCGUGUGUGAAGAAGGCCUUCGGGUUGUAAAGCACUUUCAGUUGUGAGGAAAGGUUGGUAGUUAAUACCUGCCAGCUGUGACGUUAACAACAGAAGAAGCACCGGCUAACUCCGUGCCAGCAGCCGCGGUAAUACGGAGGGUGCGAGCGUUAAUCGGAAUUACUGGGCGUAAAGCGCACGCAGGCGGCUUGUUAAGCUAGAGGUGAAAGCCCCGCGCUCAACGUGGGAACUGCCUUUAGAACUGGCAGGCUAGAGUCUUGGAGAGGGGAGUGGAAUUCCAGGUGUAGCGGUGAAAUGCGUAGAUAUCUGGAGGAACAUCAGUGGCGAAGGCGGCUCCCUGGCCAAAGACUGACGCUCAUGUGCGAAAGUGUGGGUAGCGAACAGGAUUAGAUACCCUGGUAGUCCACACCGUAAACGCUGUC
rnacentral:rRNA from 1 species